rnacentral:rRNA from 1 species
GAUGAAUGCUGGCGGCGUGCCUAACACAUGCAAGUCGAGCGGCAGCGCGAGUAGUUUACUACUUGGCGGCGAGCGGCGGACGGCUGAGUAACGCGUGGGAACAUGCCCCAAAGUGAGGAAUAACUGCCCGAAAGGGUAGCUAAUGCCGCAUAUGAUCUUCGGAUUAAAGGAUUUAUCCGCUUUGGGAGUGGCCUGCGUACGAUUAGAUAGUUGGUGAGGUAAAGGCUCACCAAGUCUACGAUCGUUAACUGGUCUGAGAGGAUGAUCAGUCAGACUGGAACUGAGACACGGUCCAGACUCCUACGGGAGGCAGCAGUGAGGAAUCUUCCACAAUGGGCGAAAGCCUGAUGGAGCAACGCCGCGUGCAGGAUGAAGGCCUUCGGGUCGUAAACUGCUUUUAUAAGUGAAGAAUAUGACGGUAACUUAUGAAUAAGCACCGGCUAACUACGUGCCAGCAGCGCGGUAAUCAUACUCGUA